rnacentral:rRNA from 1 species
GCGUGGGAACGUGCCCUUCACUACGGAAUAGUCCCGGGAAACUGGGUUUAAUACCGUAUACGCCCUUCGGGGGAAAGAUUUAUCGGUGAAGGAUCGGCCCGCGUCUGAUUAGAUAGUUGGUGGGGUAACGGCCUACCAAGUCUACGAUCAGUAGCUGGUUUGAGAGGAUGAUCAGCAACACUGGGACUGAGACACGGCCCAGACUCCUACGGGAGGCAGCAGUGGGGAAUCUUAGACAAUGGGCGCAAGCCUGAUCUAGCCAUGCCGCGUGAGUGAUGAAGGCCUUAGGGUCGUAAAGCUCUUUCGCCAGGGAUGAUAAUGACAGUACCUGGUAAAGAAACCCCGGCUAACUCCGUGCCAGCAGCCGCGGUAAUACGGAGGGGGUUAGCGUUGUUCGGAAUUACUGGGCGUAAAGCGCGCGUAGGCGGAUUAGUCAGUCAGAGGUGAAAUCCCAGGGCUCAACCCUGGAACUGCCUUUGAUACUGCUAGUCUUGAGUUCGAGAGAGGUGAGUGGAAUUCCGAGUGUAGAGGUGAAAUUCGUAGAUAUUCGGAGGAACACCAGUGGCGAAGGCGGCUCACUGGCUCGAUACUGACGCUGAGGUGCGAAAGUGUGGGGAGCAAACAGGAUUAGAUACCCUGGUAGUCCACACCGUAAACGAU